GGAGGGUUGGCCGAGUGGUUAUGGCGGUGCAUUCAAGUUAAUACAUUAGCUUGGUUCAAGACGAAUCAGAGUCGCACUUCGAAAGAGCAAGGGUUCGAAUCCCUUACCCUUCA
rnacentral:tRNA from 1 species